rnacentral:rRNA from 1 species
UUACACAUGCAAGUCGAACGGCAGCGCGGACUUCGGUCUGGCGGCGAGUGGCGAACGGGUGAGUAAUGCAUCGGAACGUACCUUUCAGUGGGGGAUAACGUAGCGAAAGUUACGCUAAUACCGCAUAUUCUGUGAGCAGGAAAGCAGGGGAUCGCAAGACCUUGCGCUGAUGGAGCGGCCGAUGUCAGAUUAGCUAGUUGGUGGGGUAAAGGCUCACCAAGGCGACGAUCUGUAGCGGGUCUUAGAGGAUGAUCCGCCACACUGGAACUGAGACACGGUCCAGACUCCUACGGGAGGCAGCAGUGGGGAAUUUUGGACAAUGGGCGCAAGCCUGAUCCAGCCAUGCCGCGUGAGUGAAGAAGGCCUUCGGGUUGUAAAGCUCUUUCGGCCGGGAAAAAAUCGCUUGGGUUAAUACCCUGAGUGGAUGAUGGUACCGGAAUAAGAAGCACCGGCUAACUACGUGCCAGCAGCCGCGGUAAUACGUAGGGUGCGAGCGUUAAUCGGAAUUACUGGGCGUAAAGCGUGCGCAGGCGGUUUUGUAAGACAGGCGUGAAAUCCCCGGGCUCAACCU